rnacentral:rRNA from 1 species
CUACACGACCGUACCGCAAACCGACACUGGUGCGCGAGAUGAGUAUUCUAAGGCGCUUGAGAGAACUCAGGAGAAGGAACUCGGCAAAUUGACACCGUAACUUCGGAAGAAGGUGUGCCUUUAGUAGGUGAACCUGUACAAGGGGAGCCCAAUGAGGUUGCAAAAAAUCGGUGGCUGCGACUGUUUAAUAAAAACACAGCACUCUGCAAACACGAAAGUGGACGUAUAGGGUGUGACGCCUGCCCGGUGCUGGAAGAUUAAAUGAUGGGGUGCAAGCUCUUGAUUGAAGUCCCAGUAAACGGCGGCCGUAACAAUAACGGUCCUAAGGUAGCGAAAUUCCUUGUCGGGUAAGUUCCGACCUGCACGAAUGGCGUAACGAUGGCCACACUGUCUCCUCCUGAGACUCAGCGAAGUUGAAAUGCUUGUGAUGAUGCAAUCUCCCCGCGGAAAGACGGAAAGACCCCAUGAACCUUUACUGUAGCUUUGUAUUGGACUUUGAACAGAUCUGUGUAGGAUAGGUGGGAGGCUUUGAAGUGUGGUCGCUAGAUCGCAUGGAGCCAACGUUGAAAUACCACCCUGGUGUGUUUGAGGUUCUAACCUAGGCCCGUAAUCCGGGUCGGGGACAGUGCAUGGUAGGCAGUUUGACUGGGGCGGUCUCCUCCCAAAGCGUAACGGAGGAGUUCGAAGGUACGCUAGGUACGGUCGGACAUCGUGCUAAUAGUGCAAAUGGCAUAAGCGUGCUUAACUGCGAGACUGACAAGUCGAGCAGAUGCGAAAGCAGGACAUAGUGAUCCGGUGGUUCUGUAUGGAAGGGCCAUCGCUCAACGGAUAAAAGGUACUCUGGGGAUAACAGGCUGAUACCGCCCAAGAGUUCAUAUCGACGGCGGUGUUUGGCACCUCGAUGUCGGCUCAUCUCAUCCUGGGGCUGUAGCCGGUCCCAAGGGUAUGGCUGUUCGCCAUUUAAAGAGGUACGUGAGCUGGGUUUAAAACGUCGUGAGACAGUUUGGUCCCUAUCUUCCGUGGGCGCUGCAGAUUUGAGGAAGCCUGCUCCUAGUACGAGAGGACCGGAGUGGACACACCUCUGGUGUAUCGGUUGUCACGCCAGUGGCAUUGCCGAGUAGCUAUGUGUGGAAGAGAUAACCGCUGAAAGCAUCUAAGCGGGAAACUCGUUUCAAGAUGAGAUCUGCCGGGGCCUUGAGCCCCCUAAAGAGUCGUUCAAGACCAGGACGUUGAUAGGUCGGGUGUGGAAGCGCAGUAAUGCGUUAAGCUAACCGAUACUAAUUGCUCGUGCGGCUUGACC